rnacentral:rRNA from 1 species
UACGAAGGGGGCUAGCGUUGCUCGGAAUUACUGGGCGUAAAGCGCACGUAGGCGGAUUGUUAAGUCGGGGGUGAAAUCCUGGAGCUCAACUCCAGAACUGCCUUCGAUACUGGCGAUCUCGAGUUCGGGAGAGGUGAGUGGAACUGCGAGUGUAGAGGUGAAAUUCGUAGAUAUUCGCAAGAACACCAGUGGCGAAGGCGACUUCUUGGCCUGUUCUUGACGCUGAGGCGCGAAAGCUGGGGGAGCAAACGGG